rnacentral:lncRNA from 1 species
ACAAAAUUCACCUGUCUAGAAAAGUAUAUAACCCAAAAUAGACAACCAGUUACACAGUUUGAGCCUUUCAAACUCAAAACCAGUUAGACAAAAUACACAAAAUCCUCAUGCCCAGAAAAAUACAUAACCCAAAAUGAGUUUAAGGAUUAUUACUAUUCCACCAUUUUGCGAGAUUUUAGUGUUGUUUUAAGAUGAUUAUGAACUCCUCUUAGUCCUUUUCGCUAAACCUCUUGCUAGGUUUUCUUUCUCCUUCAGUCAUGUUUUCUUUCCCAGUAACUUUGAGGAGUCUUUGUUCUUUGUAUGUACUUGAUGAGGAGGAUUGCUUAUCCUUCUCUUUAUCAAUACAAUGUUUCCUUAAAAAAAAAAAAAAUUCAUUUUGUGAAGACAACUCUUUUUUCAUGUUGGUAAUUGUUGAAUGUUUUGGUUCAAUGAUUGAAGUGUGAAUUUUUGGUUCAAAGGUUUAACAGUUUAGGAGUGUUAUAUUGUUUAUGUGAGAAUAUAUAUUGUGGGCCCUGUUUAUAGGUCGUGGGUCCGGUUUACAGUUGUGCCUCGAAAUUCAAUGGUCAUAUACUCAUUCCUAACACCACUUGUAUAUUUAAAGUGCUUAUUUAAAACCUUAGGUUGAAAUCCGCAAUUGAAAUCCAUAGCUUAAAUUUGUUUCGCCAAACAAGUGGAUUUCAAAUGCAUGGAUUUGAAAUCCAAAUCCAAAUCCAAAUCUAAAUCCAUGAUCUCAAACGGAGCCUUGGAUACUAUGUUGCACUGAUACUCCGCUAGACAUGAGUAUGCAAGUAUCGGGCAAGUAUCUGAUACGAUACGUGCCUAAUACGCCCCCGAUACAUAUCAUGUACGCGAAAUGAAGUAUCGUGGACUUUUGAGCUAAGUUGACUUUCUGAUACGUCUCCAAUACACGAAGGACGCGUAAGAUACAGUCUCCAUACGGGGAUUAUUUUACAAAUAUUUGAAAACUUUUGUGGUCGUUUUUGAAAAAAAAAAAGAAAAAAAAGAAAAAAGAAAUGUAGGGUGAAAAGGUGAAUUGUGAAACCCGAUAUUGCAAAACACAAGUCGACAUAGCUGGGUUUUAGUUUGUUUGAGCGGCUGCGUCACUCUCUGCUUUGCUCAGAUCCAUUCCAACGAAAGGGAAAGAAAAAGAAGAACUGAAGGAGGAAGAAGGAGGAAGGAGGCGACUCGACCCAACCAGUGGCAACAACGGAUUUUCUUUGGUUUGUAUCUUGCUGCUGUAGAAUUGCAUCUUCUCUUCUUCUUUUCUUUGAUUUGUUGAUUCUUCUUUGGUUUGCAUCUUGCUGUUGUAGAAUUGCAUCUUCUUUCCUUUUCUUCUUUUCUUUCGGUUCAGUUUACUAUCUUUGCCUGUCACCUUUCGGUUCAGUUAUUAAUUAAUUGUAUCCCCAACAUUGAUGUCUUGUUGCUGUGUUAAUUAAUUAAUUGUAUGAUUCUUGAGAUGUAUUAAUUCAUAGUUGUUUUCAAAAUGAUUUUUUGGGGGAUGAGGGCAAUAGUUCUGGUGGUGGGAAUACUACUAAUAACAAUAAUGCUACUUUUCCGUUGUGGAAAUAGUUCACCAAAAGUGUGAGAGAUGGAAAAGCCGGUGGCAAUACUGCAUUUCAAUGCAAUUAUUGUCGAAGGACUUUCAAAGGAUCAUACUCUAGAGUUAAGGCUCAUUUGUUGAAAAUUAAAGGGUAUGGAAUUGCUUGUUGCUCUAAAGUUACAAAUGCUCUUUUAAGGGAAAUGGAGAGAGUAGUAGAAGAAGCGGAGUUGAGAAUUUAUAUUAUUUUAAUUGCCGUAUCGGCCCAUACCCGUAUCCUAGUGUUUGGAGAUUUGCCGUAUGGGCAUACCCGUACCGGUACCGGUGCAACAUAGCUUAGAUGUUUUUAUGCAUCAGAAAAUCGAGUGCAUGUGUGUGUAUUUUUUUUUCAUCUUUCUUGUUUCCUUAUUUUAAUAAAUUGGUAGGUGUAGUAAGUUAAAUUAAAUACCUAAAUCUCCGAGGAGACUUCAAUUUUUAAUGAAUUUUCUCUGACAACAUUUUCUGCACAGUUGGGCAGAGCAUAAAAGAAGCUUGUCGAUUUGGUUGAAAGUAAAAGCUACUGAUCAGGAAUGGCUGCGGGUUUAGCUUCAAAGUGUUCACGCGGUAUGUGAUUUUGCAUAGGGGUUUUCAAGUAAUCUAUUUGUACUAUUUGUGUCGCUUGCUCUAUUAGUAGAUUCUAUUUUCAUUGAAUUAGUGUUAAGAAAAGCUGUAGAAACUUUCACUUUUCCUGGAUCAGUAGUUUGUCUGGUGUUGACUGCUUGCUCCCUGCUGGAUAACUAAUGUAAAAUAGUUGAGUAGAUCUAAAAAGAUGCCACAAAUUUGUUCUUUCAUCAUUUUUCUGGUUCUCUUGAGUUUCAUAUUUUAAUUGUGCCAGUUUCCUGGAUUAAAUAUAAGCUCUUUUAGUAUCUGUUAUGCAAUUAUUCUCUUACCCAUUUACUUACUGCAAUCUUUUCAAUCUUCUGGAAACAAACCUAGUGGGUCGCUCAUUGUUGGGGGGGCUUGGCAACAAUUCGUCUGGCUUAUUGAGCACAUCACAUGAGAUGACAUGCAGCACUUUCUUGUCUCAGGUCAGUGUGUGUUGAAGUUAAUACUUAAUGGUAGUGUUUUAUGUUUUGAAUAUAUUUUUGGAUUAUUAGCAGCCAUGAUGGUUGUUGGCUAAAGCAAAGCUGUAGCCUCUCCUUUGAUUUGUAAGUACCUUGUGUGACACACUAGAGCAAGGAAAAAGUUAUCCUACCACUCUAUUGAAGUGGUUGGUGAGAGAGACGUGCGGUAGUGUGUAGUGUUAGAGAACAGGAGUCUAUAAAACUCUUAAGUGCAAAAUGUGUAAAAUGAGAAGUUUGGAGAGAGUAAAAGAUUCCUCAUAUUGAAGAGAAAUAGAACUCAAAGAUUAUUUGCUUUGUGCCUUUUCAUUUGAGUGCUAGGCUUAAUCCAAAUUCCAACAGUGUGUUCAUCUAAUAUUUCUUGGAAGAUUACAACUGUGAUUAGGAAAUAUAUUCAUUGAAUUUUUAGUAGGAUGGUUUGGAUUGAAGUGAAGGUCUAAUCUUAUGAUUAGAAUAAAAAACCCUGUUCGGUUUUCAUACAAAAUGUUUUUGCUGGAUGUUUAAAAUCUUGAAUAUUUUUGGUUCUAGAGAAUUGAGAGUUUCUUGUAGCCUUGCAGUGAUACCCUUUAUAGCAUUGUUUAGAAGAGUCGACAAAAAAGCUUGUUUUGACAGGCUUAAAUGGAGAAUCUUGGUGCUAUUUCUGAGUGCAAUGGAUGAGCUGUGGCACUGUUAAUUAAUUCCAAGUUGUUCUUUCUAUUUCUCUUGUUUAUCUUCUUUUUGGCUAAAUACCUCAAAUAGUAAACUGUUUAUUACUUUGUAUUGACAUGAGCUUGAUUUGUUGUUUUUGUCCACUUUUACAGCAGCAAAGGACCUUCAUACAGAUGAGGACUAUUCUCAAAGUGGUGGACAACUCAGGGGCGAAAAAGGUGAUGUGCAUACAAGCUUUGAAGGCAAACAAGAAAGGGGCAAGAUUGGGAGACACAAUUGUUGCAUCAGUAAAGGAGGCACAUCCCAAUGGGAAAGUGAAGAAAGGACAGGUUGUGUAUGGCGUGGUUGUUCGUGCUGCCAUGCAACGAGGUCGUUGUGAUGGGAGUGAGGUCAAGUUUGAUGACAAUGCUGUGGUGCUUGUUGACAAGCAAGGGCGGCAGCCGAUUGGGACUAGAGUAUUUGGACCCGUCCCGCAUGAGUUGAGGAAGAAGAAGCAUGUCAAGAUUCUUAGUUUGGCGGAGCAGAUUGCCUGAAGUGUCAAGCACACGACAAAAUACAGAUGCACAAUAAGAACAGAACGCUUAUGUGAAGUGAUGAGGUGUUAAAAUUUUAGAAUAUUCAAGUGAUCGGAAUAAAGUUUGGUACUACGAUUAGAUUUCAAUAUUUUUGAAUAUUGGGCAUAUUGGCCAAAGAUUGAGUAAUUACAUCUUCCAUGCCCUAUUUCAAAAAUAGAAGAAAAAUGAUCUGUUUAUUGUAUCGUUUUCAUUCCGAGUGAGAUUGAACCAAGCGCAUAAAGGUGGUUUUUUAUACCAUUCUUUUGCUCAAUUUUGUAAGUUGGGUCUCUUCCUUGCAAGAAUGUAGAUGACUUGUUAAAAAUCAAAGCUUUUGAAAAAGCACUUAUAAUUUUUCUGCUAAAUUCUGUUAUAAGCAUUUUUGGUUGUCAUAAAAUGUUUUUAGCCCUCCCAAAGCAACUUCUAAACAGGCCACUGGUUGAUCUUGACAGCUGAAGUAACUUUAGGGGAGAAAUAAAGGGUCGACUUACGAACAUUUAUUUUCUCCCCUGAAGCCCUGCCGAAAUACUCUAAAGUUUUUAUGAUAUUCCUAGCAUCAGUAGUUGAGGCUUUAGCAAAAAUGAGACGAUCAUCAGCAAAAACUAGAUUCGAAACUCUAUAAUAAAAAAAACUAGUUACAUUGUCUAAUUUAUUAGAGUGAUCGGCUCUUUUUCAUGGGACAAAUGCGUAAGCAACAUACCAUUUGAGUUGUUAGAGUCCAUAUUUGCCGACUACAUUUGCAAUUGCGUACUCCCUUGUGGUGAGCCACACAAGUGACUCUUCCAGAACAAUCCAAGAGCUCACUUACCCACCCAGCUACAGCCGAGACAACUAAAUGCAAUUUGCUGCUGCUUUCACACAUGAGCCUUGUCCACGUGGAAUGAGUGUUCACACCAAAAGUGAAAAGAAAAAAAUAGAAAAAGAGAAAAGAAACGCGGAAUGAGUGAAGCAAAUCCUAAACGUAACAAUUUUGUCAUCCCAAAUGUGCAAUAUUUAUAUUUUUGAAAUUAAAGAAAAUAUUUUAUACUUUUGUGUCUUUUUUUUUGUGCUUUUUUUUAUUUAUGAAAAAUCGUUCUAGUAUUGGAGGAAUAAGUUGAAAAGAAACGACCUUUACAUGAUUGAAUCAAAUGACGAUUCGUUUACAAUAAUCCAAUCAAUUGCAUACUUUUUUUCCUCUUUUUGUAGAACAAAGCACUUUUUUAUUUUAUUUUAAAGGUGAAUACAUUAAGGUUAAUUUACUUAAAUGUAUCAUUAGAUCCCUGUGUUUAAUUAUAAAUGCGGUUGGUAAAAGUUUAGAUGUAGGGCACUCAUUCUGGACCUGAUAAUUAUCAAUAUUUGAAAAUUUAUAUUUCUCUUCUUUCUUUUUUUUUCCUUCCAGAAGAUUUACUUCGGAUUUGAACUCCCUUUGUAGCCCAACAAAGCCAUGGAAAAGAGAAAGAGCGUGUGGAGUGGCAUGAAACAAAGAGAUAUAGCACGCGAUGCGAGACACGUACACAACCCCACUUCAUUGCACCGACUAACCCAUUCUGCCCCAACUGCCAUCUAUUUUUUAAGUGAUAGUCUAAAUUAGUCUAAAUUAAUCUAAUUUAUUAGAGUAAGAAUUCAAAUUUGAGUGCAUAAGGGUAGGUAGGAUCACUGCCUUAACUAACCAGCCUAACUCACGUAUACUAUUUUUGUCUUCUUCAUACAAAUGAUAUGUUUUUGUCUUUUUAUAUACAAAUGAUAUUAGAGGAUGAAAAAAUUAAGUUUAACCACUUGAACUACAAACCAUUCUUAAUUGCCGCUUGAUAAUUUACUUCUGAAUAUAAAUAAUAAUCAAAACUAAAGCAAAUAAAAAUUUACACACACACAUGAAUGAUGUCAUAAAAAUUCGAACAAAACCCUCUUUUCUAGAAGUCAAUUUUCUUUCACUCGCCUUGACCCAGUUGGCAUACUUUCCUCUGAUGAGAGAGAAAGCCUCAUUUCUUUUGAAAGUGCCAUCAUUCUUUCCCACUUCGCUACUUAAAUCACUCCUCCCCUCCCCUUAUAUAAAACACAAUAAUACCUCCUCCACAUCCCAUCCCAUCCCAACCCACCACAAAUCCCACAUUCUAAUUUUUCUCUCUCUCUCUCUCUCUCUCCUCUUGAGUCUUGCAAAAAGAAAAAAAAAGAAAAGAAAAGGAAAGAAAGUAAAAGGAAAAUGGGAGCAAUGAGGGUUUGGAGUGUGCUUGUGGUGAUGGCGGUGGCCAUGGCGACGUUUGGGGAGUGUGGGUCGUCGCACCACGCGGCUCCGGCGCCGGCGGUGGACUGCUCGAGCCUGAUCUUGAACAUGGCGGACUGCUUGUCCUUUGUGUCUAAUGGGAGCACCGAUACAAAGCCCGCAGGGACUUGCUGCAGCGGCCUCAAGACCGUCCUCAAAGCUGACGCUGCCUGCCUCUGCGAGGCCUUCAAGAGCAGCGCUCAACUCGGCGUCGUUUUGAACAUUACCAAGGCCGCCUCC